ensembl:lncRNA
CCCUCUCUCUCUCUCCCCCUCUCUCUCACUCACUCACUCACUCACUCACUCUCUCAUCUCUCUCUCUCUCCUGCAAGUCAGUAGGGUCUGAAUGGUCAGUCUUUUGGUAAAGACUGCAUGACCUCUGACCUGGGCAAAAGCAGAUCUCACUCUCUCUCUCUCUCUCUCGGCGCCGGGGCCAUCUUGUGGCCUGGUUGCACAGUCCGGUAGGACUGGAACAACUCGAAUAGUUGUAAGCAAAAGCAGAUCACUCUCUCCCCCCCUCUCUCUCUCUCUCCCCCUCUCACUCACUCAGUCACUCAGUCACUCACUCACUCACUCACUCAUCUCUCUCUCCUGCAAGUCAGUAGGGUCUGAAUGGUCAGUCUUUUGUUAAAACUGCAUGACCUCUGACCUGGGCAAUAGCACAGAUCUCUCUCGCUCUCUCUCCCCCUCACCCUAGCUCCCUCUUUCUCUCUCUCUCUCACUCACUCACUCACUUUGAUACUCAAUCACUUUUUCUCUCUCUCUUCUGCAAAUAGGUAGGGUCUGCAAUGGUAAGUCUUUUGUUAAGACUGCAUGAUCUCUGACCUGGGACAAAAGCAGAUCUCUCUCCCUCCCUCUCGCUCUAUCUCUCUCUCUCUCUCUAGAGAUAUGUUCUCUCUCUCUCUCUCCAAGCACACACUUAUUGAAGGCAACAAGUGUCAUUUUUGACCUGGGUGUUUUGAUAAGGCAAUAGUAGCCUGCACAAAGGGACCCCCGGUGUGGUCUGUCUGUCUGUCCGUCUGUCUGUCUGUCUGUCUGUCUGUCUGUCUGUCUGUCGAAAUAUGUUCUCUCUCCAUAAAUAUAUUCCCUUAAAGAUCCAUCUGUUUCAAAUGAUAACAGUGUUUCGGCAGCUACUUAUUCAGCCAAUGGUGCAAUUAUAAUAGUCACAUUUCACUAGUCAAUAGCUGGAAGUAUUGGAUUGUAUAUUUCAUUCCAAUAUUUGAGGUAUUUAGUUUGAUUUUGAUUUAAAUAUCAAUAUCUAGUUCAUAACUAGAGUUUCCGCACGUUCAUUAAGUGCCCUCAUCCUCAUCCUCUACGAAUCAAUAAAUGAAUAGCAAUAAGUUGAAAUCCAUCAGUGAAGCAAUAGUUUCUGACGCAUAAUAUUUUGGCUAUAAUUUUGUAGCUAAUAGAAUUCAACAUCUAUGUGAGAACAAUAUUUAUGUAUACAUGUGAUAAAUCCGUAAAUCCACUUUGUUUGUCAAACGGAUUGCUUUUGGGCAACCAGGAAGGUUGUUCCACAGUUUCAAUAUGGAAUAUUGAAAAGUAAUUAACGUUGUACAAUCUUGUAACUCCCAAUUCUUCGCUCUUUCUCUCUGUCUGCUUGCCUGUCUAAAAGUAGGCCCUCCCUCACCCCUUAAAUUACUUCCCCAUCCUUUAGUCCCUGUCUCCCACCCCCCC